rnacentral:tRNA from 1 species
AGGAUAAUAGUUAACUAUAACGUUUAAUUUGCAUUUAAAAAUCAUUGAUCAAAUCAAUUUAUCUUA